AGUUAGUUGGUGGGGUAAAGGCCUACCAAGACAAUGAUGCAUAGCCGAGUUGAGAGACUGAUCGGCCACAUUGGGACUGAGACCCGGCCCAAACUCCUACGGGAGGCUGCAGUAGGGAAUCUUCCACAAUGGGCGAAAGCCUGAUGGAGCAACGCCGCGUGUGUGAUGAAGGCUUUCGGGUCGUAAAGCACUGUUGUAUGGGAAGAAAAGUUAAGGUAGGGAAUGACCUUAGCCUGACGGUACCAUACCAGAAAGGGACGGCUAAAUACGUGCCAGCAGCCGCGGUAAUACGUAUGUCCCGAGCGUUAUCCGGAUUUAUUGGGCGUAAAGCGAGCGCAGACGGUUGGUUAAGUCUGAUGUGAAAGCCCGGAGCUCAACUCCGGAAAGGCAUUGGAAACUGGUUAACUUGAGUGCAGUAGAGGUAAGUGGAACUCCAUGUGUAGCGGUGGAAUGCGUAGAUAUAUGGAAGAACACCAGCGGCGAAGGCGGCUUACUGGACUGUAACUGACGUUGAGGCUCGAAAGUGUGGGUAGCAAACAGGAUUAGAUACCCUGGUAGUCCACACCGUAAACGAUGAACACUAGGUGUUAGGAGGUUUCCGCCUCUUAGUGCCGAAGCUAACGCAUUAAGUGUUCCGCCUGGGGAGUACGACCGCAAGGUUGAAACUCAAAGGAAUUGACGGGGACCCGCACAAGCGGUGGAGCAUGUGGUUUAAUUCGAAGCAACGCGAAGAACCUUACCAGGUCUUGACAUCCUUUGAAGCUUUUAGAAAUAGAAGUGUUCUCUUCGGAGACAAAGUGACAGGUGGUGCAUGGUCGUCGUCAGCUCGUGUCGUGAGAUGUUGGGUUAAGUCCCGCAACGAGCGCAACCCUUAUUGUUAGUUGCCAGCAUUCAGAUGGGCACUCUAGCGAGACUGCCGGUGACAAACCGGAGGAAGGCGGGGACGACGUCAGAUCAUCAUGCCCCUUAUGACCUGGGCUACACACGUGCUACAAUGGCGUAUACAACGAGUUGCCAACCUGCGAAGGUGAGCUAAUCUCUUAAAGUACGUCUCAGUUCGGACUGCAGUCUGCAACUCGACUGCACGAAGUCGGAAUCGCUAGUAAUCGCGGAUCAGCACGCCGCGGUGAAUACGUUCCCGGGUCUUGUACACACCGCCCGUCACACCAUGGAAGUUUGUAAUGCCCAAAGCCGGUGGCCUAACCGUAAGGAGGAACC
rnacentral:rRNA from 1 species